GAUGAACGCUGGCGGCGUGCCUAAUACAUGCAAGUCGAGCGAACAGACGAGGAGCUUGCUCCUCUGACGUUAGCGGCGGACGGGUGAGUAACACGUGGAUAACCUACCUAUAAGACUGGGAUAACUUCGGGAAACCGGAGCUAAUACCGGAUAAUAUAUUGAACCGCAUGGUUCAAUAGUGAAAGACGGUUUUGCUGUCACUUAUAGAUGGAUCCGCGCCGCAUUAGCUAGUUGGUAAGGUAACGGCUUACCAAGGCAACGAUGCGUAGCCGACCUGAGAGGGUGAUCGGCCACACCGGAACUGAGACACGGUCCAGACUCCUACGGGAGGCAGCAGUAGGGAAUCUUCCGCAAUGGGCGAAAGCUUGACGGAGCAACGCCGCGUGAGUGAUGAAGGUCUUCGGAUCGUAAAACUCUGUUAUUAGGGAAGAACAAAUGUGUAAGUAACUAUGCACGACUUGACGGUACCUAAUCAGAAAGCCACGGCUAACUACGUG
rnacentral:rRNA from 1 species